rnacentral:lncRNA from 1 species
CCCAGCCAAUGGGGGUGGCGAGCCGUAGCUGCCCUCCCGCGCGUUCCAAUCGCAGGCAGCAACUGUUGGGGUGGGCGGGGCUCGGGCGGGCGGGGAUCCGGAGCGAAGCGGCGCGGGGCGGAGUCCUCGGGCGCAGCGGCGGUGGCAGCAGCGGCGCCCCUCUGGGUGACUUGGCCGUGAGAAAGUGAAAGGAGCCCGCAGGCGGCGGCGACAGCUGCGCUGGGAGGGGCUUGUUUCCAGGCUCAGAGGCCCCGCGCACUCUGCGGGUGCGGAGCGAGCUUUUCGGUGUGCACUGUGACAACCACAAACACACUUUUGAACGUAGUGGGGCUUGGCUGCUGCGAGUUACGCAGGUAUCCUGGAGAGGCAGGGCACCCGGGGACACGGAUGACUCGAGGCCGACUUCGGGUGGCUCUCUCUGCUCCUUCCUGUGGGGGUGAAGACGCCCGGGUCCUCGCCGGCCCGUGCGCAGGGGAGCGGGACCGAGGAGCGCUCUCGCUCCGUCCUGCGGCGUCCCGCGCCCAGGUGCACAUCGGGGAGCUGGGGACGCAGGCGACUCAGGCAGUUUCUGGGAGUCGUUCUUACGUCAUCAUGUCACGGGCAGAACAGGGCAGAGCGCCCGCCUUUCUCGCAAAACCCUCCUGUCCCUUGUGUACUUACACUGUUACAAGUAAAGACUUCCCCAAGUGACCAAAUUUUAGAGCAUUACAGUAAAAUUGGUACUUGCAGAUGCCUCAGCUUGAUUCCUUAAUUGAUACGUAUCUAGCCACAACUUUAAACUACCGAGGGACGAUGUAAGACUGCUGUGUCGCUUUUCUUUCCUUCAAAUAAACUUUUACUCGGUACCUGUUCUUGGCAAUUAGACUGCGUUAAUCACAGCCACAAAGACGUGGAAAUGUCUGCCGUCAAGAAAUUGGAAAUCGUAUCGAGGCAAGAAUUACAAAACCCAGACUGGCAAGCCUGUUGCUAACCAACCUGCCAGGAGACCUUUCAACUGGGCAAAAUGUGC